ACCUUAGUCCUACGCAAUUAGUGUCUCUAAUUCAAAAUAAAGUCUGAAAACCAUGGGCUAGAGAAUUCAGUGUUCACGAUAUCUAAAAAUCCAUACAUGUGUACGUCCCUGAACCUUAGAGGUCAUUGAGCUAACAGUAUUUUUUUUUUUACUUUUAAUAGGAUUGAAAUUAUGUUUUACACUAUAUCACAGAUAUAGUGCCAUUUAGAUUCUCUCUGUUGAGAAUUGGGACUGGUUUUCCUCAUUUGCGAAGUUGGCAGCUGUCCCCACUGUAAUGGUCACCGUUACAGCAAAGGUGCCCUUUCUCCCACUGCUGGCGAGCACCUGGGCCUUUGCCUCUGCCUCUCCAGGUUCACACAGCUAG
rnacentral:lncRNA from 1 species